GACGAACGCUGGCGGCGUGCCUAAUACAUGCAAGUCGACCUUAGUGGCGAACGGGUGAGUAACACGUGGGUAACCUGCCCAUCAGAAGGGGAUAACACUUGGAAACAGGUGCUAAUACCGUAUACCGAUGGUUGGACCCGCGGUGCAUUAGCUAGUUGGUGAGGUAACGGCUCACCAAGGCCACGAUGCCUAGCCGACCUGAAGGGGUGGUCGACCACAGUGAGACAGAGACGGGGCCCAAACUCCUAGGGACGGCAGCAGGAGGAAAUCUUCAGCAAUGGACGAAAUUCUGACCGAGGAAAGCCGCGUGAGUGGUAGAGGUUUUAGGAUCGUAAAACUCUGUUGUUAGAGAAGCGGUAUCUAACAAGAGAGCCACGGCUGACUGCGUGCCAGCAGCCGCGGUAAUAC
rnacentral:rRNA from 1 species